GAUCGCGUAGCUCAGUUGGAAGAGCAUUGGGCUAGUAUUCCAAAGGUCGUAGGUUCGAAUCCCGCCGUGGCCA